CUGAAAAAAAGAAAUAAGAAGAGCAUAACAAAGAGCUAAAGCUUAGAAAAUCCCCAAAGCAUGCAAAUACAUAAGGAAAAAAUAAUCAAAUACUAACAUAUUUCUCAUUAGGUCUUCCAAUAUUGGUAGCCUCUCUCUUGUUGGAUGUAAUAUACAGUACGCUCUCCCCAAAGUAACUCUCAAGCACAUUUUUUUUCAAAAACAGCUUAUUUUGAGCACACAUCCUUCUUUAUUCCUCACUCCUUCAUCUAAAAAUGUCCUAUCAAGUCUUUCCUUUUCCUGCCUUCUCUCUAGCCACAAAAAGAAGAGAGGGUAUAUUUUAAUUAUUUGUUUGCAGUAAAUUCAAAGCCUGUAAAUUCCCAUUCUGUGGGCUUUGGCUGGGGGAAAUGUAAUGUUUCCCUAGAAAGAAGAGAAGAGAUAAUGACAGCAUGAAAGACUGAGUUUGAGUUUCCCAGGCACUACUCCACCUGCCCUAGGAGAGGAGGGUUGGAAGUCAGCAGGAGGGAAACUGUUAGAAGGGCAGCCGCCAUGUCCCAUCAUCUCUUCUGGGGAUCCUCUUGGUAGGACAUCUCAGGGAGCAAAGAAAUGAGACGUCUGGAGCAGCCUGGUGGCAUUUCAUCUUCUGUAUCUCUUGGACCAGUUCCCUGGUUUCUAACACCUCCAGACUAUUUUGCCCUCAACUCUGGCACAGUCUACACAACUAGCCUCCUCUCUGAACUUUGUGUUUCCAACUGGCCCAUCACUUCUCUGUUCUCAGCAACCGGAAGAGCAUACGACUGAACUC